AAGGAGACGGGCUUCAGCGGGAUCUGCUGACUUCAGUACAUGUAUAUUUCGGCUGAAGGAAGAAUUCAUUUAUUCAUCAAUUAACUGAGAACGAACGAGCACCCUAAAAAUUCAGGUCACAUUUACUACGCCCGGUCCAAGAGGAUAUCCAGCAUGGCCUUGGCACUAAUUAUGUAGGUAGUGCUUCUCUGGCUUGGACCAACUGGUGGAGGAAAUUUGCACAUCCACACUCUACAAUCUUGAAUAGCCUCAAGUCUGGCAAUAUGUGUGGCAAAAUCACGUACGAUGAGAGGAAAAGCAUGUGUGCGAAAAGGGGAAAAAAGUUUUAUCCCACACGUACUCUUUCAGAGGAUGAUCUCUUUAUCAGAAAGGAAGUAUUAGUAAGCCAUCAAAAGGCCUAUAUUGAAAAAAUCGAGGCAGAGGAGAAGGCUUUUGCAGAUUAUUGGAAUCCAAUUUUAUAUGUUUUUCUUUCGGAUGAUGAACCUUCUAUGGAACCC